AUGGCUGUCGUCAGCUCGUGCCGUGAGGUGUUGGGUUAAGUCCCGCAACGAGCGCAACCCCUACUGUUAGUUGCCAUCAGGUUAAGCUGGGGACUCUAACAGGACUGCCUACGCAAGUAGAGAGGAAGGUGGGGACGACGUCAAGUCAUCAUGGCCCUUACGCCCAGGGCUACACACGUGCUACAAUGGUGCAUACAGAGGGUUGCGAGCUGGUAACAGUAAGCCAAUCUCAAAAAGUGCAUCUCAGUUCGGAUUGAGGUCUGCAACUCGACCUCAUGAAGUUGGAAUCGCUAGUAAUCGCGUAUCAGCAAUGACGCGGUGAAUACGUUCCCGGACCUUGUACACACCGCCCGUGGGCGGGGGCGGCGGGCCGGGCGCGGGGCGCGGCGGGCG
rnacentral:rRNA from 1 species